rnacentral:rRNA from 1 species
AGUGAACGCUGGCGGCAGGCCUAACACAUGCAAGUCGAGCGGCAGCGGGUCCUUCGGGAUGCCGGCGAGCGGCGGACGGGUGAGGAAUACAUCGGAAUCUGCCCUGUCGUGGGGGAUAACCUAGGGAAACUUAGGCUAAUACCUCAUACGACCUACGGGUGAAAGCUGGGGAUCGCAAGACCUCGCGCGACAGGAUGAGCCGAUGUCCGAUUAGCUAGUUGGCGGGGUAAAGGCCCACCAAGGCGACGAUCGGUAGCUGGUCUGAGAGGAUGAUCAGCCACACUGGGACUGAGACAAGGCCCAGACGCCUACGGGAGGCAGCAGUGGGGAAUAUUGGACAAUGGGCGCAAGCCUGAUCCAGCCAUGCCGCGUGGGUGAAGAAGGCCUUCGGGUUGUAAAGCCCUUUUGUCCGGGAAGAAAUCGUCUGGGCUAAUACCCCGGGCGGAUGACGGUACCGGAAGAAUAAGCACCGGCUAACUUCGUG